UUAAUACUCCCUCCGUCCGGAAAUACUUGUCCUAGAAAUGGAUGUAUCUAGACUUAUUUUAGUUAUAGAUACAUCCAAUUUAUCUAUUCUUAGAACAAAUAUUUCCCGUCAGUCGAAGAGGGAGUACCUA
rnacentral:pre_miRNA from 1 species